rnacentral:rRNA from 1 species
GGAGGAAAGUAGGGGAUCGCAAGACCUUGCGCUUUUUGAGCGGCCGAUGCCUGAUUAGCUAGUUGGUAAGGUAAUGGCUUACCAAGGCAACGAUCAGUAGCUGGUCUGAGAGGACGACCAGCCACACUGGGACUGAGACACGGCCCAGACUCCUACGGGAGGCAGCAGUGGGGAAUUUUGGACAAUGGGCGAAAGCCUGAUCCAGCCAUGCCGCGUGAGUGAAGAAGGCCUUCGGGUUGUAAAGCUCUUUCGGUCGGGAAGAAAUAGUUGUGGCUAAUAUCCACAAUGAAUGACGGUACCGACAUAAGAAGCACCGGCUAACUACGUGCCGGCAGCCGCGGUAAUACGUAGGGUGCAAGCGUUAAUCGGAAUUAUUGGGCGUAAAGGGUGCGCAGGCGGUUGUAUAAGUCAGAUGUGAAAUCCCUGGGCUUAACCUAGGAAUUGCGUUUGAAACUACAAGGCUAG